rnacentral:rRNA from 1 species
UACGUAGGGGGCAAGCGUUGUCCGGAAUCAUUGGGCGUAAAGAGCGUGUAGGCGGCUUGGCAAGUCUGACGUGAAAGCCCGCGGCUCAACCGCGGAUUGUCGUUGGAAACUGCCUCGCUAGAGUCCGGAAGAGGAGAGCGGAAUUCCUGGUGUAGCGGUGGAAUGCGCAGAUAUCAGGAAGAACACCCGUGGCGAAGGCGGCUCUCUGGGACGGUACUGACGCUGAGACGCGAAAGCGCGGGGAGCGAACAGG